CCUACGGGUGGCUGCAGUGGGGGAUAUUGGACAAUGGGGGGAACCCUGAUCCAGCCAUGCCGCGUGUGUGAAGAAGGCCCUCGGGUUGUAAAGCACUUUCAGUGAGGAAGAACGCCUGGUGGUUAAUACCCAUCAGGAAAGACAUCACUCACAGAAGAAGCACCGGCUAACUCCGUGCCAGCAGCCGCGGUAAUACGGAGGGUGCGAGCGUUAAUCGGAAUUACUGGGCGUAAAGCGCGCGUAGGUGGCUUGAUAAGCCGGUUGUGAAAGCCCCGGGCUCAACCUGGGAACGGCAUCCGGAACUGUCAAGCUAGAGUGCAGGAGAGGAAGGUAGAAUUCCCGGUGUAGCGGUGAAAUGCGUAGAGAUCGGGAGGAAUACCAGUGGCGAAGGCGGCCUUCUGGACUGACACUGACACUGAGGUGCGAAAGCGUGGGUAGCAAACAGGAUUAGAUACCCCUGUAGUC
rnacentral:rRNA from 1 species